rnacentral:rRNA from 1 species
AUUGAACGCUGGCGGAAUGCUUUACACAUGCAAGUCGAACGGCAGCACGGGGCAACCUGGUGGCGAGUGGCGAACGGGUGAGUAAUACAUCGGAACGUGCCCAAUCGGUGGGGAUAACGUAGCGAAAGUUACGCUAAUACCGCAUACGAUCUACGGAUGAAAGCGGGGGAUCGCAAGACCUCGCGCGAGUGGAGCGGCCGAUGUCAGAUUAGGUAGUUGGUGGGGUAAAGGCUCACCAAGCCAACGAUCUGUAGCUGGUCUGAGAGGACGACCAGCCACACUGGAACUGAGACACGGUCCAGACUCCUACGGGAGGCAGCAGUGGGGAAUUUUGGACAAUGGGCGCAAGCCUGAUCCAGCCAUUCCGCGUGCAGGAUGAAGGCCUUCGGGUUGUAAACUGCUUUUGUACGGAACGAAACGGCGAGCUCUAAUACAGUUUGCUAAUGACGGUACCGUAAGAAUAAGCACCGGCUAACUACGUG